rnacentral:misc_RNA from 1 species
GAUGAAGAACGUAGCGAAAUGCGAUAAGUAAUGUGAAUUGCAGAAUUCAGUGAAUCAUCGAAUCUUUGAACGCACAUUGCGCCCGCCAGUAUUCUGGCGGGCAUGCCUGUUCGAGCGUCAUUUCAACCAUCAAGCCCCCGGCUUGUGUUGGGGACCUGCGGCUGCCGCAGGCCCUGAAAAGCAGUGGCGGGCUCGCUGUCACACCGAGCGUAGUAGCAUACAUCUCGCUCUGGGCGUGCUGCGGGUUCCGGCCGUUAAACCACCUUCAUAACCCAAGGUUGACCUCGGAUAAGGUAGGAAGACCCGCUGAACUUAAGCAUAUCAAUAAGCGGAGGA